AAUGAACGUUGGCGGCAUGGAUUAGGCAUGCAAGUCGAGCGAGAAGUGUAGCAAUACACGGAAAGCGGCGGAAGGGAGAGUAAUACGUGGGAAUCUGCCCUUAGACCUGGGAUAGCAGCGGGAAACUGCUGGUAAUACCAGAUAAUGUCUAUGGACCAAAGAUGUGAUUCCGUCUAGGGAUGAGCCCACGUCCUAUUAGCUAGUUGGUAGGGUAAUGGCCUACCAAGGCGAUGAUGGGUAGCGGGUGUGAGAGCAUGACCCGCCUCACUGGGACGGAGACACUGCCCAGACACCUACGGGUGGCUGCAGUCGAGAAUCUUCGGCAAUGGGCGCAAGCCUGACCGAGCGAUGCCGCGUGCGGGAUGAAGGCCUUCGGGUUGUAAACCGCUGUCGAGGGGGAGCAACUUCCAUAGAGUUAUCUUUAUGGAUUGAGUGAUCCCUGGAGGAAGGACGGGCUAAGUUCGUGCCAGCCGCCGCCGUAAAAC
rnacentral:rRNA from 1 species